GAUGAAGAACGUAGCGAAAUGCGAUAAGUAAUGUGAAUUGCAGAAUUCAGUGAAUCAUCGAAUCUUUGAACGCAACUUGCGCCCUCUGGUAUUCCGGAGGGCAUGCCUGUUUGAGUGUCAUGUAGACUCAAUCCCUCGGGUUUCUGAGGAGGUUGGAUUUGGGUGCUUGCCUUCUGGCUCGCCUUAAAGGACUUAGCAGGAUAGCACUGUAGUCGACGUAAUAAGUCUCGUCGGUGAAAGUGUGAUGUCUGCUUACAGAUUGCCCUUGGGCACUUUUGACUCUGACCUCAAAUCAGGUAGGACUACCCGCUGAACUUAAGCAUAUCAAUAAGCGGAAGGA
rnacentral:misc_RNA from 1 species